rnacentral:rRNA from 1 species
UGCGUAGGUGGUUUGUUAAGUCUGAUGUGAAAGCCCUGGGCUCAACCUGGGAACGGCAUUGGAAACUGGCUUACUAGAGUGCGGUAGAGGGGUGUGGAAUUCCCGGUGUAGCAGUGAAAUGCGUAGAUAUCGGGAGGAACAUCUGUGGCGAAGGCGACACCCUGGACCAGCACUGACACUGAGGCACGAAAGCGUGGGAGCAAACA